GUGAAUCAUCAAAUUUUUGAACGCAAAUUGCACUCUCCGGUUUUCCGGGAGAGUAUGCCUGUUUGAGGGUCAGCCUAAAAAAAAUCGACAUUGGUGCUGUUUUAUUGUGGCUUUCGUCGGAGAUGGGUUAUCUUAAAUCUCAAUGUAAGCGACUUAAAAACUUUUUUACGAUUCUAAGAAUAGUUCUAAGAUUUUUCUUGUACGUUUAAGGUAUCGAAUGUCUUAUUAGACGUGGCCGUCAUAUCGGAUCGUAUCCAUAUUUUACUCGUUAACUUACCUCAAACAGUGAAG
rnacentral:misc_RNA from 1 species